rnacentral:lncRNA from 1 species
GAAAAGAGAAAAGUUGGCUAACAUUGAAGAUAAACAGAGGACUGACAAUAAGGAUCAGAUUUUAAGUUGUUCUCGGAACUGUGAUGCAAUACUGUUAAUAGUUAAUAUGAACAAAUUCUUUCUCUGUGUGUAGUUGAUGGGAUAUCAUAACACGCUUAGUCUCAUUAGCUUGUUGCAAUGACUCUUUGAGUCAUUAUUCUAUGAGGCAGCUGAGCAAGAAUGCAUGGAAAUUCUGACAUUUGGAAAACAUUCUCUUAGUUUUAUUGUUAAGACUGCAUGGAAUCCGUCCAUUUUCAGAUUAUAUUCUGGGAAAUUCUGCCUUCAGGCUGCCAACCUUAGGUUCCUAUCCUUAUUACCCAAUAGCUUACGUAGGUCAACUAGCACCAGUGAGCUGCUGUGAGGGAAACUUCUUUAUUGGAAAUAAUA